AGAAUCAACGCUGGCGGCGUGCCUAACACAUGCAAGUUGCACGAGAAAGGGACUUCGGUCCUGAGUAAAGUGGCGCACGGGUGAGUAACACGUGACUAAUCUACCCUCGAGUGGGGAAUAACCUAGGGAAACCUGGGCUAAUACCGCAUAACACUUACGAGUCAAAGCAGCAAUGCGCUUGGGGAGGAGGUCGCGGCAGAUUAGUUAGUUGGCGGGGUAAUGGCCCACCAAGACGAUGAUCUGUAUCCGGCCUGAGAGGGCGCACGGACACACUGGAACUGAAACACGGUCCAGACUCCUACGGGAGGCAGCAGUGGGGAAUUUUGCGCAAUGGGGGAAACCCUGACGCAGCAACGCCGCGUGGAGGAUGAAGUCUCUUGGGACGUAAACUCCUUUCGACAGGGACGAUAAUGACGGUACCUGUAGAAGAAGCCCCGGCUAACUUCGUGCCAGCAGCCGC
rnacentral:rRNA from 1 species